CAAGCCAACUUUUUUUUUUGUUUUUUUACCUGUCAGGACGAACGCUGGCGGCGUGCCUAAUACAUGCAAGUCGAGCGGACAGAUGGGAGCUUGCUCCCUGAUGUUAGCGGCGGACGGGUGAGUAACACGUGGGUAACCUGCCUGUAAGACUGGGAUAACUCCGGGAAACCGGGGCUAAUACCGGAUGCUUGUUUGAACCGCAUGGUUCAAACAUAAAAGGUGGCUUCGGCUACCACUUACAGAUGGACCCGCGGCGCAUUAGCUAGUUGGUGAGGUAAUGGCUCACCAAGGCAACGAUGCGUAGCCGACCUGAGAGGGUGAUCGGCCACACUGGGACUGAGACACGGCCCAGACUCCUACGGGAGGCAGCAGUAGGGAAUCUUCCGCAAUGGACGAAAGUCUGACGGAGCAACGCCGCGUGAGUGAUGAAGGUUUUCGGAUCGUAAAGCUCUGUUGUUAGGGAAGAACAAGUACCGUUCGAAUAGGGCGGUACCUUGACGGUACCUAACCAGAAAGCCACGGCUAACUACGUGCCAGCAGCCGCGGUAAUACGUAGGUGGCAAGCGUUGUCCGGAAUUAUUGGGCGUAAAGGGCUCGCAGGCGGUUUCUUAAGUCUGAUGUGAAAGCCCCCGGCUCAACCGGGGAGGGUCAUUGGAAACUGGGGAACUUGAGUGCAGAAGAGGAGAGUGGAAUUCCACGUGUAGCGGUGAAAUGCGUAGAGAUGUGGAGGAACACCAGUGGCGAAGGCGACUCUCUGGUCUGUAACUGACGCUGAGAGCGAAAGAGGCC
rnacentral:rRNA from 1 species